GGAGCAUGGUGGCUCAUGCCUUUAAUUCCAGCCCUUGGGAGGCAGAAGCAGGCAGAUCUCUGUGAGUUCGAAGCCAGCCUGCUCUACAUAGAGAGUUCCAGGACAACCAGGGCUACCCAGAGAAACCUUGUCUGAAAAUAAAUGAAGUGAUACCUAGUUAAGUAAGUAAGCUCUGGGUUAGCCGGUGAGCAGUGGACUUUGGUUAGCAUCUUCAUGCCGUGCCCCAUGGCCCUCUGUUCUCAGUCCCCUCCCUGCUCUUCCCUGAGCUUCUCCUUCCCAUUACUUCCCUAUUGUCUUCAAGACCUCCUCCUCCAGGCGAGAGAGAAGGCUAAGAGCACUGACUGCUCUUCCAGAGGUCCUGAGUUCAGUUCCCAACAACCACAUGGUGGCUCACAGCCAUCUGUAAUGGGAUCGGAUGGCCUCUUCUGGUGUGUCUGAAGACAGUGACAGUGUACUCACAUACAUAAAAUAAAUAAAUAAAUCUUUAAAAAAGAGAUAA
rnacentral:lncRNA from 1 species